GCAGAAAGUGACCAAUCCGGGCCCAGCAGGCUCAGAUAAAAGGGAGCUACAGGGCAGCAGUAGAGUCAGUUGCUGCUGGUAGCCUAGGGAGUAAGGACUGAAUCCCUGGAGGGCUGAGAGAAUUGUAAGCACCUUGGACAGAGCACGGGCUGGUUGCUGGGACUGAGCAGCAUGGCCCAGAUGCCUGGAACCGAUCCUAGAUUGACUCUGAAGCAUUGUUUGCAGUAAACAGCUCUGCAACUUCCAAAACAAACCCACAAGGAGAGAGGGCAAGGGAAGAGGUAACAGAAAACAUACUCAUUAGCUUUUUUAUGCUGAGAGUGGAGAUUUCCUGGCCUGGGGUGACCAGAAAAAGAAACAAAACACCGAGAUCAGCAGAAAAGACGGGGCGGCGGGAGAUGCUUCACACAGAACAUCAAUCCAGCAUGGCCCCAGCUGCUGGACUUCACCUGAGACUGACCUUGAAGUAUACACUAAGGGAGACUAUUCUGCAACUUUGGAAACAAGCAGGCUACACCAGAAAGUAAAGCAGGAUGGUGAAGAAACUGACGCAUUCACCUCCCCAAAUGAAAUAUCUCCCCCACUACGUUCAGUUAAAAAUAAGUUCUCACUUUUGAACAGUAAGAUUUCACGAGCAAGUACCUUGUGGGGGAGGAAAGGAUGUCAGCUCCGUUAAGAUAUUGCUAGGCUGGACUUGCUCGGUGAAUUUAUGGGAAGAGCUGGAAUAGAAUGAUUAAGGUCUUGUCUAGAGUACAAAUGCUUUGCAGCGUAGCUGUAUGAGCAGAGCCCCUAGUGUAGAUGGAGCAUAUACUGAGAGAGGGAGUUUUUCUGUCAGCAUAGUAACACCAUCUCCCCAAACAACAUUAGCCAUGUGGACGGAAGCACUGCCCUGUUGGCGUAGCUGCAUCUACACUGGAGGUUUUGCUGGUGUUUGUUGGCCUGGGGAGUGUUUUUUUCACACCCUGACUGACAGCUUUGUAAGGUGGACCUGGCCUUAUUAACCUUAGCACCUCAGUCUGAAAUGUGUGAUGUGCCAGUUCCUCUUUCUGCCUCACCUUACAGGUAUUCCAGGUACUUACAUACCCAAUCAGCCUGAAUCACUCUUGUGAAUACAGUUGCUGUUACCUGUGGAAGCACCAUUCUCAAAAACAGUAUUGCAAAGCGUCACUCCUUAGCCAGUCCUCAAUGGGCGUUGUGAGAAACCUGGUGAUACCUGAGGUUAUGCCCUGAUUCUGAUCUCAAUUGCAUUAGUAGACAUUUGAAAUUACACCAAAUAGCUCUGGCAUCUGGCCAUUAGACUGUCGUACAGAGAAGACUGAAUGAUAAGUAUUGUCUGCUAAAAAUUGGGAAAGAAACAGGAAAUUCACAUUAAAAAUAAUUGUGCAGAUUUUUUUCAUGAAAACUGAAAAGUUUUGGGGGUUUCAUCCUUCUCAGUGGAAUAAAAAUGGGCA